rnacentral:rRNA from 1 species
AUUCCCCUAGUAACGGCGAGUGAAGCGGGAAGAGCUCAUGUUGUAAAUCUCCAGCUUGCUGGCGAAUUGUAGUCUAAAGGUGCGUGCUCAGUCGUGGUCCCGGGCUAAGUCUGUUGGAAAACAGCAUCAUGGACGGUGACAAUCCGGUUCUUGCCUGGGGUCCCGCGGCGUACGAGCCGUUUCCGACGAGUCGUGUUGCUUGGGAUUGCAGCACUAAGUGGGUGGUAAAUUCCAUCUAAAGCUAAAUAUUGGUGGGAGACCGAUAGCGAACAAGUACCGUGAGGGAAAGAUGAAAAGACUUUUGAAAAGAGAGUAAAAUAGUACCUGAAACUGCUGAAAGGGAAGCGAUUGAAGUCAGUGUUGCUCCUGGUCUUUUUGCCGUCGCCCCCGUGGGGGUUGCGGCGUGGGGCCUGGAGCGUUUCAACAUGCGUUCUGUUCCGCGGGAAAUGUUCAGUGUGCUGGAACCUUCGGGGAAACGCACUGUUCUUGUCGUGGUUAGGACGGAGGACCUUUGCUCCUUUGACUGCGCGUUCCUCUCUCGGGUAUGCUGGUGUCUACUGCUUGCAGUUUUCAUUUUCAUGCUUGCGACUGUGCGUGUUAUUCAUGAGCGAACAUGAUGUUGAAGAAAUGGCUUUA